rnacentral:lncRNA from 1 species
GGCUUGGUUUUGGUCAUGGUAAGAGACACCCAUUGGACAACCAAGUAGAGAUGUGGAAUAGACAGUUCUAUACCCAUCUUGAGGCCAGAACUUUAAAAUACAUGUGUGAGCCAGCAGCAUAGAGAUGGUAUCUGAAACCAUCUCUAAACUAGAGGAGAGCACCUGAGUUGUGAGUGUAAACAGAGAAUAUACAUAUAUACGUAGGUACUGCAUAACAUGCAUGUCCAAAGAACCUUUUAGAAGUUCAAGUUUGGUAUGUGAUGGGAUUUGUAUAGUGUCCUGAAGUAGAAAGAAAUUUCAUAAAAAAUUACAGAAAAGUUUGCAGGCUUCAGCUCUAUUAAAUGGCUAAAAUGGAAAAAGAAGUGAGAACCCAUAGAAAUAGUUACCAUGGAGACUUCAACAUUCCAGGAAUGAUGAGCUGACUGGACCUAAUUGUGACCUGGGAGCCCUGUCUAAAGGACGGACUGGCAACCAAAGCCGACUUUCUCCCCAGGACUUUGAGAAGCAGCACCUCCUCAGGGGAUGGCGUCUCAGAGAGCAACUGAGAUAUACUCAGACUCAAAAUAUACUCAACUUUCCUUCAUCUAGUGUAUUCUUUAUCUUGAUCUGAUGUCCUGGACGUUUCUCACAGAAGAAGGUUAAUAGGAGAUCAAGAUUGGCAGGAAGAGGGAAGAACGGAGUUCCCACCAAAUUGAUAGUAAAGUAAUUAAAAUCAUAAGAUUUUAGAAAAUAAGAGGAGAGGCAACAAUGGAUGGGAGAUGUCAGCAUGUUCUUGGAAGAAUGAAACCAGAAGGCAGGAAGAUGGAAACCAAGGGCUGGUGAUGAGAGUUUUGACCUGUUCAGGAUUUACCAGCAACAGGUCAUUUCUUCUUAAAACACAUUUGUUCCUUGGCAUAUCUGGCUGACACACACUGUGGAGCUUCACCAAUCAGCACCUCUGUUCAUAGUAGAGAAAAAAUAACUCAAAAUGUAAAAAGAAGAAUCCGUGCAAAACUAACAGCAGGUAAUGGAUGCAGCACUUCAGAUUUUAACAGUCAAACUUUGAUUAAACAUGAAAGCUCAUGUUUUAAAGAUAUAAAGAGUUUGCAGUUUAUAAUAAAACUCUAGAAAGAAAGCA